ensembl:misc_RNA 7SK 7SK RNA
GGGUGUGAGCGUGAUCUGGCUGCUGCAAUACACGUCGCCCCAUUGAUUGUCAGGGUUGCUUAGGCUCAUCUGCUGGGUUCAACAGGUGUUGGUUUCCUUCUUUGCUCCAGGUCC